rnacentral:misc_RNA from 1 species
UCCGGUUUGUCACCGGCAGUCUCCCUAGAGUGCCCUUGCGUAGCAACUAGGGACAAGGGUUGCGCUCGUUGCGGGACUUAACCCAACAUCUCACGACACGAGCUGACGACAGCCAUGCAGCACCUGUGUUCCGAUUCCCUUUCGGGCACCCCCACCUCUCAGCAGGGUUCCGGACAUGUCAAGGGUAGGUAAGGUGGGGAUGACGUCCCAAGGUUGGUU